AUACUAUGAUUUUUCUACAGAACACAUGAAUCUUUUGCCUUUUACUAAAGAUUUCCAUGGAGAGGUUUAUUAGUGCAACAGUUCAAAUAAAGACUUGUGUAAAAACAAUUUCAUGUGUACUA